rnacentral:rRNA from 1 species
UACGUAGGGUGCAAGCGUUGUCCGGAAUUAUUGGGCGUAAAGAGCUCGUAGGCGGCUCAUUGCGUCAACCGUGAAAACCAGCAGCUCAACUGUUGGCUUGCGGUUGAUACGGGUGGGCUGGAGUUCGGUAGGGGAGACUGGAAUUCCUGGUGUAGCGGUGAAAUGCGCAGAUAUCAGGAGGGACACCGGUGGCGAAGGCGGGUCUCUGGGCCGAUACUGACGCUGAGGAGCGAAAGCGUGGGGAGCGAACAGG